CCUACGGGUGGCAGCAGUGAGGAAUAUUGGUCAAUGGGCGGAAGCCUGAACCAGCCAAGUAGCGUGCAGGAUGACGGCCCUACGGGUUGUAAACUGCGUUUAUACGGGAAUAACGCGCCUUACGUGUAGGGCUUUGCAUGUACCGUAUGAAUAAGGACCGGCUAAUUCCGUGCCAGCAGCCGCGGUAAGACGGAAGGUCCGGGCGUUAUCCGGAUUUCUUGGGUUGAAAGGGAGCGUAGGCCGCAUGUCAAGCGUGCGGUGAAAUGUCCGGGCUCAACCCGGGCCUUGCAGCGCGAACGGGCGUGCUUGAGUCCGCGGCCAGCAGGCGGAUUUCGUCGUGUAGCGGU
rnacentral:rRNA from 1 species